GCCCGAGUCCCGAGAUACCGCUCUGGAACAGGCCAUCCACGACGAUUGGACGGACGAGCCUACUCUCGUAAUGCGUAGGUCCGGAGUUCAACUCUCCGUUCGGGCUCCA
rnacentral:tRNA from 1 species